rnacentral:rRNA from 1 species
AUUGAACGCUGGCGGCAGGCCUAACACAUGCAAGUCGAACGAGUGGCGGACGUGUUAGUAAUGUCUGUGAAACUGCCUGAUGGAGGGGGAUAACUACUGGAAACGGUAGCUACUACCGCAUAACAUCAGCUGUGCCCAGAUGGGAUUAGCGAGUUGGUGGGGUAACGGCUCACCAAGGCGACGAUCCCUAGCUGGUCUGAGAGGAUGAUCAGCCACACUGGAACCGAGACACGGUCCAGACUCCUACGGGAGGCAGGAGUGGGGAAUAUUGGACAAUGGGAGAAAGCCUGAUGCAGCCAUGCCGCGUGUAUGAAGAAGGCCUUCGGUUUGUAAAGUACUUUCAGCGGGGAGGCGUUACCGGCAGAAGAAGCACCGGCUAACUCCGUGCCAGCAGCCGCGGUAAUAC